UUCACUUAGGACAAUAAUAAAGUUCAUAUGCAAUAUAUUGUCUUCCUUAUUUAUUUAUUUUUAAAUUUUUACUUAUUUACUUUUGCAUAUGUAUGUAUUAUGUAUGUAUGUGUGUAUGUAUGUAUUAUGUCUGUAUGUAUUAUGUAUGUAUGUAUGUGUGAUGUAUGUAUGUGUAUAUGUAUGUAUAUAUGUGUGUAUGUAUGUCUGUAUGUAUGCAUGUGUGCAUGUGUGUAUGAUGGGUUCAUGCCUGCUGUGGCGUACAUAUGGAAGUUAGAGGAUAACUUAUGUGAGUUGGUUCUUUCCUUCUACCAUGAGGUGCUCAGGACUAAACUCAGGUCAUUGGGUUGGGUAGUAAUAUCAUUUACCUACUAUGUCAUUUCUCUGGCCCCUUAUCUUUAAUUAUUGUAUAAUAUUUUCUAUUAAAUUAGUUCUUUAUUUAUGGAAAAUUAAAUUGUUUCCCACGGUCUGCAGUUAUAAAAACUGUUAAGAUAAAUAUUCAUCAUGCGUAUGCCAUCUGGAAUAUUUUUGGGGUCUUUCCUACAACUAUUGUAAACCUGUAUGUAUUUUCCACUAGGUUGAUAUGGAGGUGACCCUCCCAGGUGAGGGCAAGGACCAAACGUUCAAAGUGUCAGUGCAAUGGGUGUCAGUUGUGAGCCUUCAGCUGCUUUUAGAAGCUUUAGCUGGACACCUGAGUGAAGUCCCAGAUGACUCAGUACAAGCCCUUGACGUGAUUACAAGGCAUCUCCCCUCUAUGAGGUACACUCCAGUAGGCCGGUCUUUUUUCUCACCUCCUGAAGGUUACUACCACCCUCUGGGAGGGGGCAGAGAGGUCUGGUUCGGCUUUCACCAGUCUGUGCGCCCUGCCAUGUGGAAGAUGAUGCUCAACAUUGAUGGUGGGUUGGAGCUCCAUCUGCUAACUCUGGUUUUUGGUCGAUUAGUUUGGGCCCUUCACUUUGCCUUGAUGCUAAGUAUCCUUUCUCUGCUUGUUAGUAUCUGCAACUGCUUUCUACCGGGCUCAGCCCAUCAUUGAGUUCAUGUGUGAGGUUUUAGACAUCCAGAACAUCAACGAGCAGACGAAACCUCUAACAGACUCCCAGCGUGUCAAGUUUACCAAAGAAAUCAGGGGUAGGUAUUCCUGGUAAUGUCAUUGUGGCAUGAGUGUAACACAGUAAGAUCAUCUGGGCUUGAGCCACAUAGACCUGGGUUGCCUUCCUAGCCUACAUAGUCCCAGCAAGUGGGACCCUGUGUUAGCCAUAAAGUCAGUAUACACUCAGACUUGGAAAUACACACCAGAGCAUACUGAUACUUAAACAAACUUACUGAAUGAACUAGUAAGGUCAGUUAUGUAGCCAGGCAUGGUAUUGCAUGCCUGCAGCCUCAGCAAUCGUGAAACUGUGACCAGAAGAUCACAAGAUCGAGGCUAAUCUGAGCCAUGUAGAAGAUCCUGUCUCAAAAAAAAAAAAAAUUGGUUGAACAUCUUAGAUCAUCCGGGACCUAAUUUAGAGCUUACUUAGCUAAGACUUUUUGCCAUAAUAUGAUUAAAUUGCUGCAACUUUUAUUCUGUAUUAAGUAUUGACUUUUAUGUGUAUUCGGAGAAAUCUCUAUUAUCUGCAUGAGGAUUCUUUCCAGAGUAACGUACUUCUGAC
rnacentral:lncRNA from 1 species